UACGUAGGGUGCAAGCGUCGUCCGGAAUUAUUGGGCGUAAAGAGCGUGUAGGCGGCCCGAUUAGUCCGCUGUGAAAGUCCAGGGCUCAACCCUGGAAUGCCGGUGGAUACUGUCGGGCUAGAGUCCGGAAGGGGCGAGUGGAAUUCCUGGUGUAGCGGUGAAAUGCGCAGAUAUCAGGAGGAACACCAAUGGCGAAGGCAGCUCGCUGGGACGUGACUGACGCUGAGACGCGAAAGCGUGGGGAGCAAACAGG
rnacentral:rRNA from 1 species